CGAAAGGUCGUGUACAGCACCAGUCCUACCAUCACUGAAACCAGGGCGAUGCAGAGCAGGACAAAGAAGGCUGGCUGGAUCCCUGGGGAAGAGCACAAGGGGACAUUCCUGGAGUGAUACAAUACACUGAGAAGAGUGGAGAUCACUGUCUGUGCUACUGAGGUACACCCGAGACUUCUGAUUUAACAAAAAAAAAAAAAAAAA